UUUUUUUAAUAUAUACUGCCCUCUAGACUGACUGAUCAUAACAUCCGUCUAUACCUCAAGGGGGCAUUGUAAAAUAUAUUUUUCCAAAUUUUCUUUCAUCGACAUGUUUGGCACAUGUGGGUCACCGUGUAAAAGAAAAUGUGGGUGAUUUGGAGGUGGUGGAAAAUAUCACCGCAUGUUCAAAAAAUGGCUUAAGUUAAGACCAAAUGGUCCCUCCGGAAUGCGGUGAUUUUUUCGACCACCUCCAAAUCACCUCAAUUUUGGCACACAUGAUCUCUUGCACAAACAAAGCUAGGUUUCCAAGGUUUUAUAUUUUUUCAAUUGUUUUGAAUUUAUACUGCCCUCUAGACUGACUGACCAUAACAUCGGUCUAUACCUCAAGGGGGCAUUGUAAAAUAUAUUUUUUCCAAAUUUUCUUUCAUAGACAUGUGGGUCACCGUGUAAAAGAAAAUUUGGGUGAUUUGGAGGUGGCGGAAAAAAUCACCUUUGUUCAAAAAAUGGCUUAAGUUAGACCAAAUGGUCCCUGCGGAAUGCGGUGAUUUUUUCGAACACCUCCAAAUCACCCAAGUUUUGUCACACAUGAUCUCUUGUACAAACAAAGCUAGGUUUCCAAGGUUUUAUAUUUUUUUGAAUUUCUUUGAAUUUAUACUUCCCUCUAGACUGACUGAUUAUAACAUCCGUCUAUACCUCAAGGGGGCUAUGUAAAAUAUUUUUUGCAAAUUUUCUUUCAUAGGCAUGUUUGGCACAUGUGGGUCAUCGUGUAAAAUAAAAUGUGGGUGGUUUGGAGGUGGUGGAAAAAAUCACCGCAUGUUCAAAAAGUGGCUUAAGUUAAAAGACCAAAUGGUCCCUCCGGAAUGCGGUGAUUUUUUCGACCACCUCCAAAUCACCUCAAUUUCGGCACACAUGAUCUCUUCCACAAACAAAGCUAGGUUUCCAUGGUUUUAUAUU
rnacentral:lncRNA from 1 species